rnacentral:rRNA from 1 species
AUUGAACGCUGGCGGAAUGCUUUACACAUGCAAGUCGAACGGCAGCACGGGUGCUUGCACCUGGUGGCGAGUGGCGAACGGGUGAGUAAUGCACCGGAACGUAUCCAAUAAUGGGGGGAUAACGCACCGAAAGGUGUGCUAAUACCGCAUACGCCCUGAGGGGGAAAGCGGGGGAUCGUAAGACCUCGCGUUAAUGGAGCGGCCGAUGCCGGAUUAGCUAGUUGGUGAGGUAAAGGCUCACCAAGGCGACGAUCCGUAGCUGGUCUGAGAGGACGACCAGCCACACUGGAACUGAGACACGGUCCAGACUCCUACGGGAGGCAGCAGUGGGGAAUUUUGGACAAUGGGCGCAAGCCUGAUCCAGCCAUGCCGCGUGAGUGAAGAAGGCCUUCGGG